CACGGAUUCCAUCACCUCCACCAAUGUCUUUGCUGCUGGAGUGCUGCACAUUUCAGCCCUCAAUCCUCUCCCAUCAAUAUCCUCCAUCCAAAUUAUUUUUCUAUUCACGUCGUCGUACUUCUCACGCUCCGCCAUUUUCCCGGCGCCGUUCGACAACCGUCAGGGCCGUACUCUCGACUGACAUGGACGCUGACGCUGAAGCUCAAGUGGCCUUGCUAAAGAAAGGCAUAGCUGAAUUUUAUGACGAGUCCUCUGGUGUAUGGGAAGAUAUAUGGGGAGACCACAUGCACCAUGGUUUCUACGACCCCAAUGUCCAAGUUUCCGGUUCUCUGUCCGAUCAUAGAGCUGCUCAGAUCCGAAUGAUCGAAGAAGCCCUCCGGUUCGGUGGCGUUCCCGGUUUGUUAUUAUUGUUGCGAUCUCUGUCUUUUUUUCUCCUCGUAUAUACGACUAUUAUACACUUAUGAUCAAUCACCAUAAUAACAAACCGGGGUAAAAAAAAAAAAAAAAAAAAA
rnacentral:misc_RNA from 1 species